CUCAAGUGGAGGUCCUAGAUGAUCAGGAAACUGUGUCUGCCUGCUCAGAGAGCAUUUUGGGGCAGGAAGAGGAACUUCUUCCUCCUCCUGAGCCUAGGGCCUCCACUUCAAGGCCAAGACAAAGACACGAGGUAUAACCAAUGAACCUUGAAACACAGUAGUCAAAUGGACGCCUUCAACUUUCUCCAAGUGUGCCUUGCAAAGAGACAAUGUUCUUUAUUUGUUUCAGGUUGGAGCAGACAAUGUGAGGGCCCUGUAUAAAAGAACCCUGGAGCUCGAUAUAGAAGUAUAAGAGGCUUUUAAUUAAAAAAACAAGGCUGGAGAUAGAAAAACUGGAAUAUGAGAAGAGAUAGUACAUGACUGAAUAAAUGACACUAAACUUAGUUACACUGACAUUAUUUUUCUGUGUUCCUAGGGGAAGGGAGAACACAUGAGAAUAUAUUUGUUAAACUUUUUUCUACGUUUCGGUCUUUUUAUACCUUUUUGUAGCUUUUUUGUUGUGCAUUUUGAGUCUUUUGUGGGG